CGUACACACACACACACUCACAGACACACACACACACACAUACACUCACAGACACACUCACACAGACACACACUCACACAGACACACACAUACACUCACAGACACUCACUCACACACUCACAGACACACACACACACAGACACACACAUUCAUAGACACACACUCACAUACAGACACACACUCACACAGACACACACUCACACACAGACAGACACACACACAGACACACAC